rnacentral:misc_RNA from 1 species
GAUGAAGAACGUAGCGAAAUGCGAUAAGUAAUGUGAAUUGCAGAAUUCAGUGAAUCAUCGAAUCUUUGAACGCACAUUGCGCCCGCCAGUAUUCUGGCGGGCAUGCCUGUUCGAGCGUCAUUACAACCCUCAGGCCCCCGGGCCUGGCGUUGGGAUCGGCGGAAGCCCCCUGUGGGCACACGCCGUCCCUCAAAUACAGUGGCGGUCCCGCCGCAGCUUCCAUUGCGUAGUAGCUAACACCUCGCAACUGGAGAGCGGCGCGGCCAUGCCGUAAAACACCCAACUUCUGAAUGUUGACCUCGAAUCAGGUAGGAAUACCCGCUGAACUUAAGCAUAUCAAUAAGCGGAGGA